rnacentral:lncRNA from 1 species
UUCAGCUUUGGUAGAACUAACAACUCGACUGGAUUUCUUCAAGGAAAGGCGUUCUCAGCUCAUGGAACAGCUCCACAACCUUGAUCUGAACUAUGGCGCAACGUCUUCACAAGAUUUUAUUUAUAGACCAUCAUCCCCUCCAUGGAACUGACCAAAGACGAUGAUGCUCACUAGAUUGACUUGCGGUCUUGUACAUUCUUCAGUGUUGCAUAUAAUUGUAUCUCAUGCACCCUUGCUUACCCCCGAUUUUU